rnacentral:rRNA from 1 species
ACACGGAGGGCGCAAGCGUUGCUCGGAAUCACUGGGCGUAAAGCGGGUGUAGGCGGUCUAGCAAGUCAGAUGUGAAAGCCCACGGCUCAACCGUGGAAGUGCAUCUGAAACUGCUAGACUUGAGUGCCGGAGAGGGAAGUGGAAUUCCUGGUGUAGGGGUGAAAUCCGUAGAUAUCCGGAGGAACACCGGUGGCGAAGGCGACUUCCUGGACGGCCACUGACGCUGAGACCCGAAAGCGUGGGGAGCAAACAGGAUUAGAAACCCUAGUAGUCC